GCGUCGGUAGUGCAGUGGUUAGACAUACCCCCAUAAAGUAUGGAAUGCGGGUUCGAAUCCCGUGCGACGUC